ACCUGAUGUAGCGUGCACGGUACGCCGCGCGCAUGCAAAGCAGCGCUCAGCACGCAGGCGGGGAGGAGCGCCCUCACAGCCCCUUCUGGCGUUACCAUAGCGCUAUGAAGCCAGAAAUGCAAAUAAAGACCUCGACUGUGCAGCCAGGCAUGCCCCAGGGUGUCACAGGGCCGGCCACAUCAGGCAUGGGUCAGCGAACAACCGGGCUUUGCAAGCAGCCUUGAAGAAGAGCAGCUGCAACAAAGAUGCAUUAUAUUCUUCUUUAGUCAAAACCAGCAGGAGUGAUCUCAGUGGAUGAGCGGUCUGCAUGUAGCUCAAACUGCUGGGCCGUGUUGGGAGAGCAGAUGGGGGAGAGACAGGCAGAAUCUCAUCAUACAUCAUAAUAGGAUCAUUCCCAUGAUCCAGAGUGGUUGUAGACGUAAAGACAUGCAGAUGCUUAAACAAACACUUAGGCAAGGAAAGGGUUUUUUUGAGCUAGUUUGGACAAAUCUUUGCUGGAUCAAUGGCAGAAGCACCAGAGUGCUUCUGAAAGCCUAGCCAUGUGUUUAUCCUCAGUGUCUUCAUUUAAACGACCCUGAGAGCACCGUUCCCUUAACACAUGCACCAGCCAGUUAAAGAAAAUCAUUUAUUUGAGUCUCGUUUUAGGUUUAUGUGCUUGUGUCACUUUCUGAGUUCUGUUUUAGCUUUGGUUAGUUUUUGUUUGUAUGUUUGUCUUAAAUGCCUUCUUAUCCCAUCUGGAUUUUAAUUGCCCCCUGAGUGAGAGUGUGUAUCUAAAAAUUUCCAUUAAAUUUUCUCUAGCAUAACUGGGGCGUUGGAUACCUUUCAGUUUGUAUGGUUGACUCUCAGAGAUUCUGGCUCUGGGCAUAAUUAGAUCUGCACCAAGAGCAGUUUUCAGGUUUUAUAGUCAAUUUUGCCUUCUAGGAAAGAGUCUGAAUCAUAGACUGUGCUGUCUCCCACGUCCUAGCUGUCUUAUCUGGAUGGGUGGGGUAAGGCAAAUGAUGCUCCAUUUAAGUAAGCGGAUCUCUCUUAUUACUAGCCUUUGUAAUUAUUUCUGUGGCACAGCUUUAAUGGUUUUAUUAAGCUGUGUUAUGCUUUAAUGUUCAUUCUGAUUGAUGAUUGAAUUACGAAAUAGUGACACUGCUGUUGUACUGGAGAAUAAGUGCUCAGAUUGUCAUGCUGUAGUUCAGAGGAAAAGCAUUUUCUCAACAGAGGGCUUCUGUAACUAGGUGUUUCUUGCUACUAAUACAGGCUGGGUUUUCCACUGUAAUUUUAAAAAGCAAUGGUGCUCCUGUGGUUAGACAUAUCUGACUCUCCUAUUUAGAAUAUGACUUUUUAUUUUAAUGGCGAGGGAAGGUGCUUAUUGCCAGCACAAAGAAGUUGAAAUAUGUUCCAGAAAUGCUAAGGACAGAGUAAUGGAGGAAGGAAUCCAUGGUUGAAACCCACACACCCUAGCUAUGCUAAUGGAGGACUGAUUGCUAGAAUAUUUAUGCAGAAUGCCUUUACCCUACGAACAGCAUGUAAAACCAUGGCCUGUUGGCCUUCUUCCAAACUGAGGCAGGUUCCAAAGCAUUAUUAAUCUCAGUGAGAAGAUGCUGUAAUUUUAAUACCUUAAUAACGUUACUGACAAAGAACCAACCACGCUGUAGCAGUAACCACGAUGUCCUUAGACUCAGAACCUUUGUAACACCAGGGAAAAAAAAAUCAAUCCUAUUCUGCUGCUCUCUUUUCAGAAAAGAGAAGUAAUAAAUGAAAUAUAUAUGC
rnacentral:lncRNA from 1 species